AAUCAGUGUGUGUGUUAGUGGAAGCGUCUGGAAAGGCGCGCGAUACAGGGUGACAGCCCCGUACACAAAAAUGCACAUGCUGUGAGCUCGAUGAGUAGGGCGGGACACGUGGUAUCCUGUCUGAAUAUGGGGGGACCAUCCUCCAAGGCUAAAUACUCCUGACUGACCGAUAGUGAACCAGUACCGUGAGGGAAAGGCGAAAAGAA
rnacentral:rRNA from 1 species